CUGGCGGGCAGGUGGCCUUCCUGCCGUUUCUGCGCUGCGGGCGGCGUCCAUUUCGCUUGCAAGCUUCGUUGCGUUCGCACGCCUUUUUCUGGCUCCCUUUGUCUCGCGUUCCGUCGUUGCUCUGGUGCCCUGGACUGUUGUGAAUGUGUUUUUAUGCCCUACUAGUGUUGCCUGGGGGUGCUUUUAUGCAUGCACCCUGGAAGAUAGGUCCAGAAGCCUUGCGAUUUCUUAUAUUAAAGCUAAGUGUACUCGUGACCCUACCAGCACUUUUCAAGAUACUUUCGACGUAUUUAUUGCGGUGAACAACGCGGUUGAGACAGCACACCCACGACGUAGGAAGGUCACAGAAAUGUUGAAAGACAUCAGAUUGGGCAUACGCUUCACCCGUGCAACUUCGUCAUGUGCUUUACGGCUGUGCCACUAUGUGUGGAAACGUCGUAGCGGAUGAAUGUGAAUUAUGGAUCUCCAAGUGGCGUCGCCCGCGUCAUUUUCAAGAUUUUACCCGUUUUGAAGGCUGUUGAUAGGGAGAAUGCUAGGCUACUGCAGACUGCAACCAUAGGCGCUGUGUCUAAAGGUUAAGCUCACAUGACGCGGCAGGGAAGGGAGUCCGUGGCGAAAAGUGAAUAUAGCCGAAGUUGGAUAGCGUUAAUUUUUGCGCACGAAAGGCAAGCUGGACACAUCGCAAAUCUCCAGUUGUACGAAACACAGUGCAGCAUGGUCGUCGGUUAUGCCAGUGCUUCAACAUAUGUUUCAGCGUCGCACUUCGUACAUUGCGGGCGUAUACCUUUAAGUUUUUCCCCUUGUGGACCGAUGCUGUGUGUGUUCAUGGACAUCAUGUUUUCAAAGACAUGUAAGUUCUCAAUAAUAAUGCGAAAAAAAUGCUGGUCAUGUUACGCUGUGAUAUAAUACCUGGUGAGGUAAUACGAUGCUAUGACGCUCAGUUUCAUACGAAAUAAAGUGUUUGAUCUAA